UUCCGGUUGAUCCCGCCGGAGGUCACUGCUAUCGGGGUUCGAUUAAGCCAUGCGAGUCGAGAGGGUUCAGACCCUCGGCGGACUGCUCAGUAACACGUGGAUAAUCUGCCCUAUGGUGGAGGAUAACCCCGGGAAACUGGGGAUAAUACUCCAUAAGUCAGGAGUACUGGAAUGUCUCCUAACUGAAAGUUUCGGCGCCAUAGGAUGAAUCUGCGGCCGAUUAGGUAGUUGUUGGGGUAACGGCCCAACAAGCCCGUAAUCGGUACGGGUUGUGGGAGCAAGAGCCCGGAGAUGGAAUCUGAGACACGAUUCCAGGCCCUACGGGGCGCAGCAGGCGCGAAAACUUUACAAUGCAGGAAACUGUGAUAAGGGAACCCCGAGUGCCCGUACACGCGGGCUGUCCCGGUGUUUAAAACACAUCGGAAGAAAGGGCCGGGCAAGACCGGUGCCAGCCGCCGCGGUAAUACCGGCGGCUCGAGUGGUGACCACUUUUAUUGGGCUUAAAGCGUUCGUAGCUUGAUUUUUAAGUCUCUUGGGAAAUCUCACGGCUUAACUGUGAGGCGUCUAAGAGAUACUGGGAAUCUAGGGACCGGGAGAGGUAAGAGGUACUUCAGGGGUAGAAGUGAAAUUCUGUAAUCCUUGAGGGACCACCGAUGGCGAAGGCAUCUUACCAGAACGGCUUCGACAGUGAGGAACGAAAGCUGGGGGAGCGAACGGGAUUAGAUACCCCGGUGGUCCCAGCCGUAAACUAUGCGCGUUAGGUGUGCCUGUAACUACGAGUUACCGGGGUGCCGAAGUGAAAACGUGAAACGUGCCGCCUGGGAAGUACGGUCGCAAGGCUGAAACUUAAAGGAAUUGGCGGGGGAGCACCACAACGGGUGGAGCCUGCGGUUUAAUUGGAGUCAACGCCGGG
rnacentral:rRNA from 1 species